GGAAUCGCUCACACAAGGUGAGAACUACUCACUCAACCAAGACCGUCUGCGGGGACCAAAAAGGCUAACCCCUCGGGACCCAAAAAGGCUAUCCCUAUCAUGUGACAACUCCGGAGUGCACUGCUUGUGUGCAGCGACCACACCAAGCUUCGAACAGACAUAAGAGUACGAUAAAAUCCCCGUCACUGAGGAUACCCUACCAUCUAGGGUUAACAACAUAACUCCUUCGGUUUUCUACGAAAUCGUAACUAGGAAAAUUCACCUAUGCAAUAUAUCAUAACUAGGUUCCAAUGCCACUCGUUAUUGUUAUGAUCAUUGUUUUUACAUGCCACUCGUCCAAGUUAUAAGUGUUUCUAUCACACUAAGUCCAAUGCCACUAGUAAACUAUGUUUUUAGACACAACACUAGGUUCCUCUCUCAUUUAGCAUCAUAGGUUUAAUAUCUAUGCCCUAGUUGACCUAGUGGUGUAGUACCCUUCUCGGCGGCGUUACCUACUAGAAACUAUAUGUUUAUAGUUCUCGUUAAUUCCCAUUAGUUGAUCAUUUCUAUUUCAGAACCUUCAACAGUGGAUAAGGCCAGGGACCGUGGUAAGGUUGUGGUGCCUAAUUAGAGCCGUCCCGACUGAGCACUUUUAAAGGUGGAUCCGAUACAUCUUUCUUUUUGGAUGUAGUGUGAGAGAUGUUCAUAUAUUUAUUUGGUAGACUACCGUGGGGUUUAUGAGAUGUAUUUGGAUUGUAUUCAUUUUGGAAAUGUUGUAUGUAGUUGGACUAUAUAUUUGAGAGAUGUAAUUGUGAUGCUAGUUGUAUGAUGUAUACUUAUUCUAGUUUAGUUUAUAUUUACUCGCUCUAAUCAUCAUGUUUAGAAUGUGUAUUUUUUUGUGGUAGGUAUCGUGAUUGUAGACACCUUGUAUGUAUAGGGGGUGUAGCAUACUGAACUUUAGUAUACUAUACUAAACUUUGGCCAAUUUGCU
rnacentral:lncRNA from 1 species